rnacentral:lncRNA from 1 species
GUAACAAGUACAUAUAUCAACAAUUAGUGAAUUAUAUAGGGCUUUAAAUAAUAAAAUUAUAUUAUUAUAUAAAAAGGAAUAUUAUAAGGAUAUGAGAAUCAAAACCAGCACGCAUUAGACCUGUCAAUAGAAGCUUUGCUGGAGGAAGAGGCCCAAUUUUAAAGAUGGAUAAGAUCUAGAUAGACACUAAAAUGAUAAAAGACUAAAUAUAAACAUUGGGUAGAAGGACAGGAUAAGCAAAGGUAAGGUAACGAGAAAAGGAUUAGACUUUUAGAUACAAUAAAUAAUGUCUACACUAACCUGCUUGCUGAAGACUGGAAGUGUAUAAUAUUAAGAAACAGUAGAUACAGACCAACUUCUGGCAUGUUGAUGUGAGGCGUUCUGUGGACCUUCUCCCUAGUGAAACUGAUAAAAAAUAUUUUUUAAAAAGAUACAACAAUUUAAAGCCAUGGACAUGAUCUUAAGAGCAUACAAUAAAUGAAGGAACAUCCAGUCAAGAAAAUUAACAAAAAUUUGGUAAGAAAAGUCAGAGUCAAUGGUAUUUAAAACAAAAUUACUUCUUCCCAAUCCCCACCUGCAGCUGAUAAUGCCACCCCAAACCACUGCAUUGGAGAUCACAGUGCUUUCUUUCUACCCUGCUCCCCAUCACAGGGUUUUGUUGUUGUUGUUGUUCAGUG